rnacentral:rRNA from 1 species
AUUGAACGCUGGCGGCAGGCCUAACACAUGCAAGUCGAGCGAGCGGCGGACGGGUGAGUAAUGUAUGGGGACUGCCCGAUAGAGGGGGAUAACUACUGGAAACGGUGGCUAAUACCGCAUACUAUCGGAUAACCCAUAUGGGAUUAGCUAGUAGGUUGGGUAAAGGCUCACUGAGGCGACGCUCUCUAGCUGGUCUGCGAGGAUGUUCAUGCACACUGGGACUGAGACCCGGCCCAGACUCCUACGGAGGGAGCAUGGGGGAAUAUUGCACAAUUGGCGCGAGCCUGAUGAAGGCAUGCUGCGUGUAUGAAGAAGGCCUGAGGGUUGUAAAGUACUUUCAGCGGGGAGGCGUUACCCGCAGAAGAAGCACCGGCUAACUCCGUGCCCGCAGCCGCGGUAAUUC